rnacentral:rRNA from 1 species
CGGGACUACCCGCUGAG